rnacentral:snRNA from 1 species
GGGCUCACUUUCACAGCACAUAUACUAAAAUUGAAAUGAUGCAGAGAAGAUUAGCUUGGCCCCUGUGCAAGGAUGACAUGCAAAUUCAUGAAGUGUUCCAUUUUUCU